GACGAACGCUGGCGGCGUGCUUAACACAUGCAAGUCGAACGGUGAAGGGACUGGUUUUGCUGGUCCUGGAUGAGUGGCGAACGGGUGAGUAACACGUGAGUAACCUGCCCCCUUCUUCUGGAUAACCGCAUGAAAGUGUGGCUAAUACGGGAUAUUCUGGGUCUGUCGCAUGGUGGGCCUGGGAAAGAUUGCGCCUUUUUUGGUGUUUUUGGUGGGGGAUGGGCUCGCGGCCUAUCAGCUUGUUGGUGGGGUGAUGGCCUACCAAGGCGGUGACGGGUAGCCGGCCUGAGAGGGUGGACGGUCACACUGGGACUGAGACACGGCCCAGACUCCUACGGGAGGCAGCAGUGGGGAAUAUUGCACAAUGGGCGCAAGCCUGAUGCAGCGACGCCGCGUGAGGGAUGGAGGCUUUCGGGUUGUGAACCUCUUUCGCCAGUGAAGCAGGCCUGCCUCUUUUUGUGGGUGGGUUGACGGUAGCUGGAGAAGAAGCGCCGGCUAACUACGUG
rnacentral:rRNA from 1 species